CAGGAAAUCCGGAAAACAAUCCAGGAAAUCCUGGAUUGUUUUCCGGAUUUCCUG
rnacentral:sRNA from 1 species